rnacentral:lncRNA from 10 species
UGUUAAGGUCACACUAAAGGAGACGUUGCCUUGUCACACUGAUAUAAUUCAGGACAGCAUCCAGCUUGGCCACUGCACACAAGUUGGUGCCAAGUCAAUAGCCUGACUGAAGCUCAUUGAUUGGGGAAUCGGGGCUUGCUUUGCCAGGACUGAGGUCUUGUGUGUUGGGGCAACAUUUCCCUAUUCAGCUUUCAAAUCUCAUCUUGACCCUCACUUCCCGGGAAGUCCCCUAGCAGAAAUUACUUGUAAUUCACAUCCAUAUUCUCUUCCUCUCCCUUAUUUCAACAGGCACUAGUCUUACUGAUUUCAUGUCUGCAGUCCUGCUGCACCAUCAGCUCCGGGAAUAGAAGAGUCAGGAGUGUGCUCCUCACUGUAACUCCAGUGCCUAGCACUAUGGGCGGUAAAAUUGAAAACACAAAUGCUCUCCCUUCUUGUCAUCUGCCACCUCUCCCUUUCCCUAAAUCGCCAUUUACUUUAAAACUGCUAACUAAGAAGCAAAAGGCCAAUGACCUUGGUCCUCUCUGACCAGGCCCCAGCCCGAGUGGCCAUGCUCCCAGGCUGUCCUUCCACAGCCACACAGCCCAUCAAGGCAUUCUGCUCAACGAAGACUUUUCCUUCCUCUGAAAGAGACUUUCCUGCUAAACAACUUUUUUCCUUACUACAAUCUGAUUGCAGUAAGCAAGGAUGGCAUAACAUAACCAUCCAAAUAAGUUGAAAACUUUUGCCCACACAAAAACCUGCACACUGAUUCAUAUUUGCCAACACUUGGAAGCAACCAAGAUGUCCUUCAACAGAUGAAUAGAUAAACAAAACGUGGCACAUCCAGACAAUGGAAUAUGAUACAGCAGGAAAAAGAAAUGAGCUCCGGACAUUCUGGAAAGGUAAAACUACAGAGAUCAUAAAAAGAUCAUCUCUUUGAAGUCUGGGUAUUUGGUAAAAACAAAUCAGUGGUUAACAGGGGCUUGGAUGGGGGAGGGAGGGAUGAAUAGGUGGUGCACAGAGGAUUUUUAGGGUAGUGAAAUGAUUCUGUUUGAGAGUGGAAUGGUGGAUACAUGGCAUUAUGCAUUUGUCAAGAUCCAUGGGACUGUAUAUCACAGAGCGAAUCCUAAUGUGAACUAUGGACUUUAGUUAAUAAAAGUGUUCCUGUAUUGGUGCGUCCGUUUUAGCAGGUACACCCCACUGAUGCCACAUGUUCCUAGUGCUGAGAAGAGACCCUGCUCAGGGUAUGCUCU